CAAUAGCGUAUAUUAAAGCUGUUGCGAUUAAAACGGUCGUAGUUGUAUGUCUGCCAUCUGUCUGUACGGUCCGCUUCGGCGUGAACGUACGACGUUGGCAUCCGUUUGCACAAUUCGUUGCGCAAACCGUUCACUUUGAGGAAAUUAGAGUGUUCAAAGCAGGCUCAGCCUUGAAUACUUCAGCAUGGAAUGAUCGAUAGGACUUCCGUCCUAUCCGUUGGUUCUAGGGGCGUGAGGUAAUGAUAAAUAGGGUUGGUCGGGGGCAUUCCUACUUGAGCGUUAGAGGUGAAAUUCAGUGAUCGCUCAAAGAGGAACUACUGCGAAAGCAUUUGCCAAGGACAACCCCAUUAA
rnacentral:rRNA from 1 species